UGUUUACAGGAAACAAAACUUCAGGAAAUAUCAUCUUUCAAAGCAAUCUCUUUCCUUCCUCUCGGUCUUCGAUCUUAUCAUUUUCUGCCUUCUAUUGGUGCCUCUGGUGGGGUCCUAACUGCGUGGGAUGACGCAAAUCUUGAAUGCACUAAAGUUCAGAUUGAUCGCUACGCUAUCUCUUGUUGGUUUUCCUUUCGUGCGAAUGACACUUCCUUUGUGGUGACAAAUGUGUACGGACCUUGUGACCAUGCUACUAAAUCAGAUUUUCUAGACUCUCUCAUUCCGCUGUCUCAAAUGAUUAAUUGUCCUUGGACGAUUAUGGGGGACUUUAACCUUGUUUUAAGACCGUCCGACAAAUCUUCAGCUAAUUUCAACGCUAAUGAAGCCAGCAUUUUCGCUUCUGCAAUCAACUCCUUGCACCUGCAGGAAGUUCCUCUCUUAGAUAGGCUCUACACUUGGUCCAAUCAACAGGACAACCCGAUCCUUCUUCGCUUAGACAGAACUUUUGUAAACUUAAAUUGGAGCAAUCUGUUCCCUGACUCAACUCUCUCAUCCCUUGCACGCACUACCUCCGACCAUGUUCCCAUCCUUCUGACGGCUACCACCGAUAUCCCC
rnacentral:rRNA from 1 species